rnacentral:rRNA from 1 species
UAGGGAAUCUUCCACAAUGGACGCAAGUCUGAUGGAGCAACGCCGCGUGAGUGAAGAAGGUCUUCGGAUCGUAAAGCUCUGUUGUUGGUGAAGAAGGAUAGAGGCAGUAACUGGUCUUUAUUUGACGGUAAUCAACCAGAAAGUCACGGCUAACUACGUGCCAGCAGCCGCGGUAAUACGUAGGUGGCAAGCGUUGUCCGGAUUUAUUGGGCGUAAAGCGAGCGCAGGCGGAAUGAUAAGUCUGAUGUGAAAGCCCACGGCUCAACCGUGGAACUGCAUCGGAAACUGUCAUUCUUGAGUGCAGAAGAGGAGAGUGGAACUCCAUGUGUAGCGGUGGAAUGCGUAGAUAUAUGGAAGAACACCAGUGGCGAAGGCGGCUCUCUGGUCUGCAACUGACGCUGAGGCUCGAAAGCAUGGGUAGCGAACAGGAUUAGAUACCCUGGUAGUCCAUGCCGUAAACGAUGAGCGCUAGGUGUUGGGGACUUUCCGGUCCUCAGUGCCGCAGCAAACGCAUUAAGCGCUCCGCCUGGGGAGUACGACCGCAAGGUUGAAACG